ensembl:lncRNA
CACAGGUGUUAUCAAGGGAAAUCAAAGUUUUUGUAACAGCUCGGACAGCGAUAAGCACAUUGCAUAACAGCAACCUCUGUAGAAGGCAUCUAUGAAAAACAUUUGUGUUGCAUAAGUGCAAAACAUGUUGAUUUUACAAGAUUUAUAGAUGACACAAUGAAAUAAAAUAGUGUCAGACAAGAGCUCCUGUUCUCCAGAAGCUUCGCAGGGCUAUUCCAGCGUGACAAUGAUCCAAAGUGUGGUCUGCAGAUAAAAUCAGACGUUGGUUUCUAGAGAAGAAAAAGUGAAACUCUGACCUGGACUAGUGUGUCACCUGCCUCGACUGCAACAGAACACCUCUCCAAAGAAAUUUAUGCAACGCUGGUCUCUCGUGUCAAGUAGGAUUGACUCUGUUGUGUAAAAGAAAGCUGGGCAUCUGAAAUAAGAGAGGAGAUGCUUGGUGAACCAUGUGCAACACUGUGCCCUGACUUCUGCUUUACCACAUGCUCAACCUGCCUGAUGAUGACGCUCCCAGCUUUAAACCCUCCAUAUUAUCUACCUACUGAGGGAGAAACGCAGGAUAAAUAUGCUGUCUGCAAUGAGUAUCACCGUGAAGGGAUCUCCUCACUCAGGACAAAGCUGCAGAAAGGCCACUGCAAUCUAAAACCUCUUCCUGCUUCACCCGGCAUCACCGGCAGGUAGUUGGUGCUGUCUCAGAGAGUCAUUUUACAAGCGCCGCUCAAUACACCUCUCUUUGCAUUCGUCUUGAAGAGGCCUUUCCAUUUUUCAAACUGGCAUCCACAUAAAGGCAACUUUCACCCAGCCCUCUGCAAAAGGCCAAAAACCAUACGGGUCACGGUUUAUACUUUAACUGUAUUGCAUGUUGCAACAUAAGCAUGUUGUGCAAAAGAAAGAGGAGCGUUGUGGCGAAAUAGGUCAGGGGUUUCUUUACUUUGUAACACUACACUUGAUGUAAAGGGGGUUGCCGCACAUCUAUGAGUCUCUGUGUGUACGUGUGUGGGGUUGUGCUUGUUUUCCUCUCCAUGUGACCCAUUUGCUGAUCGACCACAGUGUUCCCCACUCUGGUGGUGUUUCCAUGCCAACGCCGCCAGUGGCAAGACAAAAGAUGAGGACUCACUUGGUCUUGAUCAAAGGGAGCACUGUUUCAGUCUGUUGCUCGUGCUGUCUAGUAUGUUCUGAAACUGACUGCAUACCUAGAGAUGUAAAAAAGGAUAUAUCACAGAACAGUGAUUUCCAUUCUUUUUCAUCAGCUUCCCACCUAGAGCGCUGUCAGCUGAUCUACAGCACCACUACUUCAGCACCUCCACUAAUGCUCCACAUUUAUUAUAAUUGAAUGUUAUUUUUACCCCAUUAUUUUGAAUUUUUUUCAAUACUUUUUUUUUAAAUGACAUGCACCACUUGGCAAUUCAGUUCAGCCACACAUUAAAUGCUAAAAGCUAGAUGUUUCGGCUAUCUACUGUGCAGUAUUUUAGUGUUUGUCCAUUGUGCAAACACUGAAAAGUUCAAAAUAUUCAACAAAACACAUUCAGCUAUUUAUUCUUACUUUUAGCUUGCAUAAAAUGCUUGUAUGUAUCAGUGUAGUUCAACAAUGUUUCGUGUUUUUCAACUAUUUCUUAAUUAUCACUCCGUUUAGAAACCCAUCACAGUUAUGAGCUGUCAAGUUCACAUUUAUUCAAAAUAAAUGGAAAAAACACAUUUCAAAGUCACUUAUUUCUUUUCUGGGUUUUAAACACUAACAUUUAUAAUGUAUAUUUUUAACAAAUGCAUGUGUAUAGGUGUCUCACUAGCUAUUCAGCUGAUAUGUGUGUAUAUAUAUGUUACGUGCCACCUCAGGGUGUUGGUUCAGUUGUUGUGUUGUGUUUUUUUUAUUGUCACCCUCAUUAACCUGCUCUCUCCCUCCUCUGAUUUAUUCUUAGUGUCGAUUGGUGUCUUAAGGCUUGGUGCACAGAUAUAAACCUGGAAAAGGCGGACCAUGGUGGUUCUCUUGGUCCUUCACUCCUCCUACCUUGUUUCUAUCAGCACCGCCUUAAACCCCCUGUUGCUUUCACCAGCACUACUGUUUAGGUUUUGGUUUCUAUUAGUCUAGUUUUCCAGGACUAAUUUAGGGGAGAAGCUUGAAUCUGACGGC